AUAAAAUUCACACAUAAUCUUGCAACUAGGAGAUAAUUACUUUUGGGGGUAUAUCCUUGUAGUCAUUUUAUGUGCAAAUUUGGAAUUGCACUGGAAAUAUUGUUUUCACUCAAAAUAUUUAAUACGCAUAUUUCUGCAUCAUUAAAUGCACUUUUAAACCUGACUUUUAAUGACUACCUGGGAUUAAACACCUAUUCUAAAACCUGUUUAAUUGUCAUAUGGUAUGAAAUUCACACUGUUUGGUGGCUUAAAGACUGAGUUUGCUGGUCAAAUAAGGGACAAGGCAGGGAAGAAAUCUUAAACCAGUUACCUCUUUGUCUGUCUCCAGGGUGGGCAGGAGCUGAGAGCCGAUUGUUAAGUUUUCAGGAAUUUUGUGAGCUGGUUGUUAAGCCAUUGGUAGCUUCACAUUGGCCAUGGUCAGGAGUAUUUACGCCAGAGCAAUCAGCAAGUGCUGAAAAAUUAGGACGGUUCCCCCCAGAGAGCUGGUUUCCCAGCACAUUACUGUAGACUCUGAAUCUCCCUCCAUAGUGUUUGACUUAAAGGUUAAAAGAGAGAAAAUUCUUUCUCUUUUCAACACCCAAAAGACCAAGUCCUAGCAUCUUUUCGUUUAAUCUAAAAUUAAAUGCCGUAUCUUAAGACGAGCAAUUAAAGCCACAUUCUAAGGCCGCAUUCAUCUCUCCUGGAGAAAAAGCAAAAUAUCUGCAAGCAAAUGACUUAAGAUUUAAAAAAGGAAUCAAUGUUGGAUACAACUUUUUUGUUCUUCCUGAAUAAGAUAAAUAACUGGCAGUUGUGUGCCUGUGAACGAGCAGAGAAAGUUCAUUCGCGAUCACUUUUGAACUGAGGAAAGGUAAUGUAUUCUUUGAUCUAACAGACGUGUUCUGGGUACUGAUCGUUAAUCUUGUUUAAUGAGGGCUGAGUCCUGUUCGUAGAGUUCUGUGAUCUAGGCAGCUGAUCACGAUGGUGCCAGCGCAGUCAAGGCCAAGCUCUCUCAUCGUAGUCUCCGAGUGUUUACGCUUGUCUAGUUGUGACAGUAAACUAGAAGGCAGAGAGCGCGGAGGGAGGGGCUCUGAGGAAGGGAGGUGCUGCGGUCGGUUUUCUUGGCCCCAGUGUGAUUUCAAAUAGAACUGGCCUCAUUUCAUUCAUCAGCCCCUGUUGACCUCUGCUAGCUUGACCAAUUAUCUCUGUAACUUUUUUCUCCUCACCAAUUGGCACCGUGGUUUCUAGAUAUCCUCUGUCUACCUCUGAGGCAGGGAGAUGGCCACCGUACCCCUCAAGGGCACGUUCAACCUCAUAGCUCUCGGCAGUGAAAGGAAGCGAGAAAUGAUUCGAAGGAGGGAAAUGAGAAUCCACGAGCCGACUCUGCAGACUUGAGGCAAUGGACUAAUUUGGUCCUUUUCGUGACGUGACAGCCUUCACAUCCCUCUCCAUUAACCACCGUCUGCUGUUAGCAGGAGCUGCGGGCUGGUGAUUUUGGAGGCUUCCUGAGAAUCACAGAAAUUUUGAAAAUAUUGGAUGUGUGUUUGAUAACAUUUUCCAAACCAAAUAUAAGAGCGUAUAACCAUUUUGAAGAGAAAUGUGAAGUUUUCAAAAAGUUUUCCUUGAGGGGGACAGAGAGCUGUUUUGACUGUUGUGGCUGCUACCCCAGGGACGACUUUUCUGUUCUCAGAUGGCGUUUAACCAUCAUUUACUAUGUGCCGAGCACCAUGCUUGGAGCUCCACAUACGUCAUCUCACCCCAUGCUCACGGAAGCCUCUGACACAGGGCUCAUGACUCCCGUUUUGUAGGUGCAGACACUGAGACUCAGAGAAGGUAAACGGUCUGAAGUCCACCUCGGCGCAUGAACUCACCCAGUGCUUUCCUCCGCGUUGCUGCCUUGUCGCUCUGCUCGGAGCUGGGGUUGUGUUGUCUCUUGUUCUUAGCAGUAAAAUAUGCAAAGGGAAAUCGGAUCAGUCAUUAUAAUCUUAGCACUCUUAGUAUCUAGAAGGGGUUAGAGAUCAUGACCUUCCCCUUUUCUUUCUGUACGAUGAAGCUGAUGGAGCCUAUUGGGUGUGAGUUCUCUCCACUCCCCUUCUCCCAACCUUGAGAUUCUCUGCUGCCUCAUCUCCCAGCCUUUCCCCUCUGCCCAGAGGCGCUGGCUGGCCUCUGUUUCAAGCUCUCACCUCUGCUGCAUCUUGGAUCUCCCCUCCACUACCUCCUUUGCGACAUUUAUCUUACUUUCUUGUGCUUAUCACAUGGGACGUUAUACUUGACAUUUGUUUGUUAGUUUAUUGUCUGUCUCCACUGGAUUAUCGUCUCUGUGCAGUUGGGAGAUUUUAUCCUUCUUAUGGCCUGUGCUAAAGGGAGUGCAGCCGCAUAGGAUGUGCUCAUUUAAUAUUCAAUGGACUGAAUGAAUACUGCCGCCUCACAUGUCUAUUUUCUCACCUCUCCAGCCAUUGUCCGCUUUAUGGAUUCUUUUUCUUUUUUUUGCUGAGGAAGAUUUGCCCUGAGCUAACAUCUGUUGCCAAUCUUCCUCUUUUUGUAUGUGAGCCACCGUCACAGCAUGGCCACUGAGAGACAAGUGGUGUAGGUCUGCGCCUGGGAACUGAACCCAGGCUGCUGAAGUGGAGUGUGCUGAACUUAACCAGUAGGCCACUGGGGCCAGCCCCACCCAAUGGAUUCUUUAAUCUCACCCUACAAGCAAGCUCAGGUCUCUUCUUGGUGACACAUCCUUUCCUGGCCCAGCUACCUUGCUAAACUGCCAUCCCACUUAGAACCAACUCGUGCCUACCCACUCAUGACUUCAGAUCUCUCCUUUUCGUUGUCCACUCUGGGCAUUUUACUGAAACUGCUCCUUGCAGGCCACCGAUGAGCUCCUACCAAGUGUUACCAUCUGUCUGAAAUCCCUGACACUUCCAACGAUUUAAAAUCAUCCUCCUUUUUAAAAUUCUCUUCUCAGUUGUCCAUGUUUCUCAGUGAUGCAUGAUGAAAUACACAGCGGCAAAAUACCAUGAGGCUUGGGAUUUGCUGUGAAAUAUUUCAGGGAAGUAACCACAUGGCAAGAAGGAUUGCAUGGCCAGCAUCCUUGAUCAUUGCUGAUCCUCAUUGAAUGGGCACAGGUCUUCAUUAUGUAUAUCUCUACUUUUGUGUACAUUUGGAAAUUUUUAUCAAACCAAAAACAAAUGCCCCCUCAUGCUCUGUCUUCAGUGGCAUCUGACCCACCCUCUUGCCCAACACCUCCCUUGCUGCCCUUUCUGGUCGCGCUCCUUUCUCCUGCAUCCCUUGGUUCUGCCCUGGCCGUUGUCUCCCUCCAUAGUCUCUCUUGGAUACCCCCACCUGCCAUGGCAUUGAUGACCAUCCCUGAGUCUCUAAUUCCCACAGACCUGAACUGCUUCCCCCGGGCCCAGCUGCUGAAUCCCCAUGACCUGCAGAGACCACCCCAAUGCCCUCCAAGUGCAUGGAGCACAUGUGCUCCAACCAGAGCUCUUGUUUGCCCUCAAGGCCCUGCAUAGCCCUGCCCACUUCCUGUGCUUCCUGAGUUCUCAGUGACCUUGUCUUCCUUCUGGUGCCCUGGGUCCGAUACCCUAGAGUCACCAUGCCUGCCCCGCCUCCAAUGGAUGGCCAGUUCCCCUCUUCUUUCCCAAAGCCGCUUACUCCCCUCCCGCCCAUUUCUCCCAUUGGCUUCAUUAUCUCUUGCCUGAAUUGUUGUUUAGUUUGUCUUCAUGCUUUAAUUCCCUACCCCUGAUCCCAGGAACGCACCACUGUCAAAUGAAUCUUCCCACGUUCAGCCUCACCCCAAGCAUGCAGAAUGCACUUCUCUUAAUUCCAGACUCCAGGCUCUCAAUCUGGCCCCAUGUGGCCUCCCAACGCCAUCUCUCACUUUUCCUGUCUGGCACUCAGAGCUUUUACCAACGAGAACGCUCUCUGUGUCUCACACCUGCCCUUUUUCUAUGGAUACAGUUCUUACUUGUCCUUCAAGCUCCUGCCGGAAGGCCGCUUCCUCUGGGAAGCCCUUGCUGAUUUCUCAGUCAGCAGUAAUUCAUCCCACUUCGUCGUUCCUAAAUCAUUUCGGGAUGUUCUUGCCUCAUUUGGUUUUGUAAUGGAGUUUUGUGGGAACUUUUCCUGCAAGACUAGGAUGUUUUUUUCCCAGAGGCCCAACAUGUUGUGGAACCUUGUGUGUUGGAAGCAAUUAACACUCGUUAAAUGAGACAAUUUCCCCCCCCUCCCCCGUCUGCUUUGUGCAGUUACGAUGGUAAAUGGAAAAAUCUGAAAAUAAUCUCAGCUGAGAAACACUUUUAUGCUGAGAAUUGCUUUUAAUAUUUCAGAAUUGGCAUAUAAGACUAAAAAGAACCUACUCCAAAAUGUAGUGUUGGUGUGGGUUUAGAAUUCAGUGUUAACCAUGUAAAUAGGAAUUCAAGGGGAAUUUACCAAAUUGACCUCAUUUACAUGUGUAAUUAUCCACCUGUGAUCAUUCUACUGUCUUAUCUAUUCCGUCUUUCUCCUCCCACAUCAAGUUAAAAAUACUUUGUAUCAAGCAUUUUUUUCCUAACCAAAUACAAUGAAUUCUUGGAAUUGGGGUGUGCAUUUGUGUGUGUGUGUGUGUGUGUGUGUGUGUGUGUGUAAAUGCAGCUCUGCCACUUGAAACAAGAUGUGGAAGUACAAUGAAAUUACAACGUACUGUUGGUGUGGGUGAGAGGCUUAGAAGAUAGACAUCGUGAGUCAUGUUCAAGUGUGCACUUCACUAGGGGAGAUUUGGAGGUAAACGGCUUGGGGACAUCCCGCUGCUUUCAGUGAUCAGCAAAGCCAGGAAAGAAAACCAUGAGUUCUGCUCACCUGGAACUCCACAGGGCACAGUCCAUGGCAACUGGGAAUAGCUGCUUCCUCUGCUCAGAAGAUCUCUGAUAGGACAGGAAGGUGUCAGGGAGCUGGGCGCUGCCUUCUCAGGACACCCUCCUGGUGGGAAAAGGAUAAGCUCAGAGCUGGGGUAGAGGCCCUCGAGCUCGAAGCAAAAGAAAAGUGGUUACCCAGGUCCCUCAGUGUUUGGGUGUGCGAAGGAAUUGUGAGCCCUGGGGAUGCUUCCAGGGGCCUGUGGUCCCUGGAGCGAAGGGAUCUGAUGCAGCAGCCCUGGCCCCUCCAAGGGCAGGGGCCUCCCCUUGAGCCCCUGGCGACUCACAGGGUGGGCAUCGCCGCCGGGGAGCUCCUUAGAAAUGCAGACAGUCAGGCCACGCCCCCGCCUGCUGUGAAGCAGAACCCAAGUUCAGCAGGACCCCUGGUGGUCCCCAUGCACGUUCAAAUCUGAGAGGCACUGGUUUAGAAGACUGUGAAUAAAACACCCCUUUCGUGUGCUCAUUUGUUUUGUCACGAUUGUUCAUUUCUCUGAAUGCCGUAGUAGUUCUUUACGGUGCCUCCUUUUGACACCUGUAAAGUAGGUUAGUUUUACUCUCCAGCUUUGAGUUGGAUUUUUUUCUUAACCAGACCACAAGGGGCCGCAUCUCACCACAUAAACAUUCAUCACAUCCAGCCUGUUCCCAGCCACAGAGGCCGACUGAGGAGCUACAGGAGCCCCCUUCUCACAGCUGACAGAGGGACGACACAGAGCAUCUGCCAUCUGAUGGACGUUGACAGCAGCGUUCUGCCUUUGGAGAACCAGGACCACAAAAGAGGCUUCGAAUGGAAAGCACCACCCACCUUUGCGGCUGCUGCCUAGUUAACAGUUGUAGGUGGCUGGCAGGUGGCACGUCUUGAAGGAAAACUGAUUUUUAGGAACCAGCAGACAAGCGUCAGGCAAUUUGGAAGUUGUGGUUCCUGAAUGGGUUCUUCCAGAGAGAAGCUACUAGAAGUGUUCCAGGUGAAUCAGACAAGCCUGCCUGCCUGCCUUCUGGAUUUUCACAAACUAAAGGCAGAGGGAGCACAGAACUUGCAGGAGGGCCUAGUGGGAGCAGAUACGAGCAUAUAGUAGAUGCUCCAUGGAUGAGCCAACAGCGUAGGAACAGAGAGGGGAGACUGCAGGUCUCCCGCCCACCCAUGGGAGAUCUUGGCACCGCCAGCCUGCCAGCAAUGCAGCUUGCAAGAAUUUCACGGGCACACAUAGGAUUUUUUUUUUACACAACUGAACUUUGAAGUCAACAUUCCACCAACAGGAGGAAACUGCCUCUCUUAUGCGGAGCUAAGAGAGAUCUUUUUCAGGAAACUAAUCCUCACAGUGUGAGGUUGGAAUGAUUAUUUAGACAUUUUGGGAAGAAGCAAACUGUGGCUUGAAGUGGGAAUCUCCUGGGGUCCUUAUUCCUCUACCCACAGCCCCUGAGACUCACCCCUCCUCCUCCACAGCAACAACCGGCAGAGAAAAGAAUACGUCUGACUUAAGAGGAGUCACUGGACAUGGUGCAUUCAUUAAGAUGCGGGAAGGACUUGGGACGCACUCACAGCUGAGGAAGGGAGCGGCAACAUGGGCCGAAAGAACAAGGCUGUCGUGGGGGCCAUAUUGGGGUUGACUGGGGAAAGGGUGGCUGAAAUUUAGAACCCUGUUGGACCAUCAGUAGACGAGAAUGACACUCUAGGGAUGACAAAUCAACGAGGUACUAAGAGUUUGCAUCCCCUCAAGAUCUACGCUAUAAUAGUUUAUUGAGUGGCCAUACCAAUCUGGUCUUUUACAUGAGAGAUAGGCAGAUUUUGAUUUAAUUUUUGCCACUGUUAUUUUGGGUUUCUGUUUCAGUGGUCUUACCCAUUUCCUACCCAAUACACUCCUUUUCUUGUAAAACUCAGCUGACACUAAACAAUGGCAUGGAAAAAAGCAAGGUUAUAUUUAGUAAUAAAGAUACCCCACUGCAAAUGGUUCCCUGGGGCCAGCUGUAGGAAUGUUAAGACAAUGCACCCGCCCCUUAACUGGAGCACCAGCCAAAGAGAGGGAGACAUGCCCCCGCUGUUAGACAUGACAGCUUCUUGGAGUAAGGACUGAAUCUCUUUAACUUCACCUUGUCCCAUUUGUCCUGCAGACAUCCUUUCUGUAGAAAAACUUGUCAUGAGUGGUGAACUGAGGAAGAAGAAAUUUGGAUGGACAAGUCUCCAAACCAUCCCUAAAUCCCAUGUCUCAGCAAAGAAGUCACAGGCUGUCGACCCUCCAGGCUGUACACUCUCCUUUGCAUAGGCUCAUGGUUAAACUGGCAGGUCAUCUAGGCUUCUAGCUUCUGGUUGAUGUUUUCUUUUGUGCUGGUAUAAUUCUCCUAUUUGUUGGUAUUAUUCCCAGUAGAGAUGUCAAAUAGGUUUCACCUCACGUGUCAACUCAUAUAUUGGUAGUGGCUGCAAGUCCACUACAUGGAGAAGGACUCUGCAUCACAUGUCUUAGGUUGGGUUCCCUGAAGCAGAAUCUGAGACAGGUAUUCAGAUGCCCUGGGUUUCUUGAGGGAAGACUCUCUGGAGAAAGGGAGUGAAGGAAGCCAGAUAGGGUAGGGAAGGAACUACACAAGGAUGUGGUCUCAGCUGUAGCCUAGCUUCAGCCUGAUCUCAUGGGGGCCCUGGAGCAUGAAUCACACCUCAGAGUUGGUCCCACCUUGAGGCAAGAGGGCUGGACUUUUGUAGCCCCUUAUUAGGCAGUUGUUGGUAUAGAAUGCCUUAGGUGAGGCACCUCUCAUUUUGCUGAGGUCAAUUCUCUGGAGAUAAAGGCAGCUCUGAGCCUCUAACGCCUGACAUUCAUAGCACCUGGCGGAUGGACGAAUGUACUUGCUGAUAAAGGGGAUCUGGGUGGGACAUCACCAGCAUCUACUACUCUGCAUUCAUGCUCAGGAAACGAGUGUUGUGACCCAUUAGCAAUGUCUGCCACGGGCAUGGGCACC
rnacentral:lncRNA from 1 species